rnacentral:rRNA from 1 species
AAUCAACGCUGGCGGCGCGCUUAACACAUGCAAGUCGCACGAGAAAGGGAGCAAUCCUGAGUAAAGUGGCGUACGGGUGAGUAACACGUGGGAAUCUACCUCUUGGCGGGGAAUAACCCUGGGAAACCGGGGCUAAUACCGCAUAAGCUCGUGAGAGGAAAGCAGCAAUGCACCGAGAGAGGAGCCCGCGGCCGAUUAGCUAGUUGGUGGGGUAAUGGCUCACCAAGGCGAAGAUCGGUAGCCGGCCUGAGAGGGCACACGGCCACACUGGCACUGAAACACGGGCCAGACUCCUACGGGAGGCAGCAGUGGGGAAUCUUGCACAAUGGGGGAAACCCUGAUGCAGCGACGCCGCGUGAGUGAUGAAGCCCUUCGGGGUGUAAAGCUCUUUCGACAGGAACGAUAAUGACGGUACCUGGAGAAGAAGCUGCGGCUAACUACGUG